UACGAAGGUGGCAAGCGUUGUUCGGAAUCACUGGGCAUAAAGCGCACGUAGGCGGCUGCGUUAGUCGGAUGUGAAAUCCCUCAGCUCAACUGAGGAACUGCGUCCGAUACUGCGCGGCUUGAGGUCUGGAGGGGGGAACGGAAUUCCUGGUGGAGCGGUGAAAUGCGUAGAGAUCAGGAGGAACGCCGGCGGCGAAAGCGGUUCCCUGGACAGAUUCUGACGCUGAGGUGCGAAAGCUAGGGGAGCAAACGGG
rnacentral:rRNA from 1 species